rnacentral:rRNA from 1 species
UACGAAGGGGGCUAGCGUUGCUCGGAAUUACUGGGCGUAAAGCGCACGUAGGCGGUCUUUUAAGUCGGUGGUGAAAUCCUGGAGCUCAACUCCAGAACUGCCUUUGAUACUGAGGAUCUUGAGUUCGGGAGAGGUGAGUGGAACUGCGAGUGUAGAGGUGAAAUUCGUAGAUAUUCGCAAGAACACCAGUGGCGAAGGCGGCUCACUGGCCCGAUACUGACGCUGAGGCACGAAAGCGUGGGGAGCAAACAGG